AUAAUCACACAGAAUGCAUACAAUAGUCAAGAUAAGGAAAGAGUUACCCUCCUUCUUCGCGAACGGAGAAGAUCGGCCUUCAAGCAAACAGAGAAAACCCUAGGUUCAAAACCCUAUGUACAACCGUCAAAAAUCUUACUGUAAGUAUGGUCAGGAAUGUCGGAAAGUCACCCAAAACAUCCUCUGAGUGAGAAUCGAGCCACCGGAUAGCAGUAAAACUUUAGUUUAAACCACCAGAAACCCUAGAAGUCGAUAGGUCACCAAAAAAUCACCCAAAAAUCAUCAGAUAAUCUCCCAGAACGUUCGAGUGAAGAAAACACACUCCGAUAUCACGAUGAAAAAUUGGAUAGCAGUAAAACUUUAGGUUAAACCACCAGAAACCCUAGAAGCCGAUAGGUCACCUAAAAAUCAUCAGAUAAUCUCCCAGAACGUUCGAGUGAAGAAAACACACUCCUAUAGCACGAUGAAAAACUCAUAAAGGUGUCCGAUAGGUCGGAAUCUUCAUCGACCAUGAGGUCUCAGAAAACACCCCCAAAAUCUAGAAACAGACUUCAUCCAAGACAACGAAGUACAUAUAAACAUAGUCGGAUCGUCGUCCUUGCUCUGAUACCAUGUUAACAUCGAGAUUAAACCGAGAAAUCUUGGAGAUUGUAGAGAGAGAAAGUAGAGAGAAGGAAGAGCAUUUGAGAAGUCUCUGGAACUCAGAGAGACUUUAUUAAACCAAGAACAGAAAAGAAAAAU
rnacentral:lncRNA from 1 species